rnacentral:rRNA from 1 species
UAGAGUUUGAUCAUGGCUCAGGAUGAACGCUGGCGGCGUGCUUAACACAUGCAAGUCGAACGGACCAUAUUCGUAUGGUUAGUGGCAGACGGGUGCGUAACACGUGGGUGACCUGCCCUUAAGUGGGGAAUAACUCCGCUAACGCGGAGCUAAUACCGCAUAUGUUCGCUCAUUCGGUUGGGCGAGUAAAGCAGCGAUGCGCUUAGGGAUGGGCCUGCGGCGGAUUAGGUAGUUGGUGGGGUAACGGCCUACCAAGCCGAUGAUCCGUAGGGGGCGUGAGAGCGUGGCCCCCCACACUGGCACUGAGACACGGGCCAGACUCCUACGGGAGGCAGCAGUGAGGAAUAUUGCACAAUGGGCGCAAGCCUGAUGCAGCAACGCCGCGUGCGGGACGAAGGCCUUCGGGUCGUAAACCGCUUUUCUGGGGAAAGAGCAAGGACGGUACCUCAGGAAUAAGUCUCGGCUAACUACGUGCCAGCAGCCGCGGUAAAACGUAGGAGGCGAGCGUUAUCCGGAUUUACUGGGCGUAAAGCGCACGCAGGUGGCUUCGUGAGUCGGACAUGAAAGCUCCCGGCUUAACUGGGAGAGGUUGUUCGAUACUGCGGGGCUUGAGGUUGGGAGAGGGACGUGGAAUUCCCGGUGUAGUGGUGGAAUGCGUAGAUAUCGGGAGGAACACCAGUGGCGCAAGCGGCGUCCUGGCCCACACCUGACGCUGAGGUGCGAAAGCGUGGGUAGCAAACAGGAUUAGAUACCCUGGUAGUCCACGCUGUAAACGAUGUCAACUGGGUGUCGGUAGUUUUACACUAUCGGUGCCGAAGCUAACGCGUUAAGUUGACCGCCUGGGGACUACGGCCGCAAGGCUAA